rnacentral:rRNA from 1 species
CCUACGGGAGGCAGCAGUGAGGAAUAUUGGUCAAUGGACGAGAGUCUGAACCAGCCAAGUAGCGUGAAGGAUGACUGCCCUAUGGGUUGUAAACUUCUUUUAUAUGGGAAUAAAAUGUUCCACGUGUGGGAUUUUGUAUGUACCAUAUGAAUAAGGAUCGGCUAACUCCGUGCCAGCAGCCGCGGUAAUACGGAGGAUCCGAGCGUUAUCCGGAUUUAUUGGGUUUAAAGGGAGCGUAGGUGGAUUGUUAAGUCAGUUGUGAAAGUUUGCGGCUCAACCGUAAAAUUGCAGUUGAAACUGGCAGUCUUGAGUACAGUAGAGGUGGGCGGAAGGCGUGGUGUAGCGGUGAAAUGCUUAGAUAUCACGAAGAACUCCGAUUGCGAAGGCAGUUCACUGGACUGCAACUGACACUGAGGCUCGAAAGUGUGGGUAUCAAACAGGAUUAGAUACCCGAGUAGUC